GCCCAGAGUGCGGCCCGGGCCCAGCUCCCUCACGGCUCCCCCGCCGGCGGCGGCGGCGCCCACCGCCCGGGCCCCGAUGAGUAACUCCCGCAACAACCGGGUGAUGGUGGAGGGGGUCGGCGCCCGCGUCGUGCGCGGCCCAGACUGGAAGUGGGGCAAGCAGGACGGCGGCGAGGGCCAUGUGGGCACCGUGCGGAGCUUCGAGAGCCCGGAGGAGGUCGUGGUGGUGUGGGACAACGGCACGGCCGCCAACUACCGCUGCUCCGGGGCCUACGACCUGCGCAUCCUGGACAGCGCGCCCACCGGCAUCAAGCAUGAUGGAACUAUGUGUGAUACUUGCCGCCAACAACCAAUCAUUGGCAUUCGAUGGAAAUGUGCAGAGUGCACAAAUUAUGACUUGUGCACCGUUUGUUAUCAUGGAGAUAAACAUCACUUAAGGCAUCGCUUUUACAGGAUUACUACACCAGGAAGUGAACGGGUUCUGUUAGAGUCUCGUAGAAAAUCUAAGAAGAUUACAGCCAGAGGAAUCUUUGCAGGUGCCAGAGUCGUACGAGGAGUGGACUGGCAGUGGGAAGACCAAGAUGGGGGUAAUGGGCGUAGAGGAAAGGUAACGGAAAUCCAAGACUGGAGUGCGUCGAGCCCACACAGUGCAGCAUAUGUUCUCUGGGAUAACGGUGCUAAGAACCUUUACAGAGUUGGCUUUGAGGGCAUGUCUGAUCUGAAGUGUGUCCAGGAUGCCAAAGGAGGUUCUUUCUACAGAGAUCAUUGUCCUGUGCUAGGUGAGCAGAAUGGCAACAGGAAUCCUGGUGGAUUGCAGAUUGGUGACCUGGUAAAUAUAGACCUUGACCUAGAAAUUGUCCAGUCUUUGCAGCACGGUCAUGGAGGAUGGACUGAUGGGAUGUUUGAGACUUUAACUACGACUGGAACUGUCUGUGGCAUCGAUGAAGAUCAUGACAUUGUAGUACAGUAUCCAAGUGGCAACAGAUGGACCUUCAAUCCUGCUGUCCUCACUAAGGCAAACAUUGUCCGGAGUGGAGAUGCUGCACAGGGUGCAGAAGGCGGCACCUCACAGUUUCAAGUGGGGGAUCUUGUGCAAGUUUGUUAUGAUCUGGAAAGAAUUAAACUUCUCCAAAGAGGACACGGCGAAUGGGCUGAAGCAAUGCUUCCAACUUUAGGUAAAGUUGGCCGAGUACAACAGAUUUAUUCAGACAGUGAUUUAAAGGUGGAAGUUUGUGGAACAUCUUGGACGUAUAAUCCUGCAGCAGUUUCCAAGGUGGCAUCUGCAGGAUCAGCCAUUAGCAAUGCAUCUGGUGAAAGACUCUCACAGCUUCUGAAGAAAUUAUUUGAAACCCAAGAAUCUGGUGACCUCAAUGAAGAGCUGGUGAAGGCUGCUGCCAAUGGGGAUGUGGCUAAAGUGGAAGAUUUGCUGAAAAGACCAGAUGUGGAUGUAAAUGGGCAGUGUGCUGGCCACACAGCUAUGCAAGCUGCUAGUCAAAAUGGACAUGUUGAUAUUUUGAAGUUGCUCUUAAAGCAAAAUGUAGAUGUGGAAGCAGAGGAUAAAGAUGGAGAUCGAGCCGUUCACCAUGCAGCCUUUGGAGAUGAGGGUGCUGUUAUCGAAGUCCUGCACCGAGGCAGCGCUGACUUGAAUGCUCGUAAUAAGCGUAGGCAGACACCUCUGCAUAUCGCUGUCAAUAAAGGUCAUCUUCAGGUUGUGAAGACUCUGCUGGACUUCGGCUGUCACCCCAGUCUCCAGGAUUCUGAAGGUGACACCCCUCUCCAUGAUGCCAUAAGUAAGAAGCGGGAUGACAUCCUGGCAGUUCUUUUGGAAGCUGGAGCAGAUGUGACCAUCACUAACAACAAUGGGUUCAAUGCCCUGCAUCAUGCUGCACUGAGAGGAAAUCCCAGUGCAAUGCGUGUUUUACUCUCAAAAUUGCCAAGACCAUGGAUUGUGGAUGAGAAGAAAGAUGAUGGUUAUACUGCAUUGCACCUGGCUGCCCUAAAUAAUCACGUGGAAGUGGCUGAACUGUUGGUACAUCAGGGAAAUGCAAACCUGGAUAUCCAGAACGUGAACCAGCAAACGGCCCUACACCUUGCUGUUGAACGGCAGCAUACCCAGAUUGUUAGGCUUUUGGUUCGUGCAGGUGCUAAGCUAGACAUUCAGGAUAAGGAUGGAGAUACUCCUUUGCAUGAGGCUUUGAGACAUCAUACUUUGUCUCAGCUACGCCAGCUACAAGACAUGCAAGAUGUGGGGAAGGUCGAUGCUGCUUGGGAACCAUCAAAAAACACAUUAAUAAUGGGACUUGGUACCCAGGGGGCAGAAAAGAAGAGUGCAGCAUCUAUUGCCUGUUUUUUGGCAGCCAAUGGUGCCGACCUCAGCAUUCGAAAUAAGAAGGGUCAGUCUCCACUGGAUCUCUGUCCUGACCCAAGUCUCUGCAAAGCGCUGGCAAAAUGUCAUAAGGAAAAAGUCAGUGGCCAAGUGGGUUCUCGGAGUCCUUCUAUGAUUAGCAACGAUUCUGAAACCUUAGAGGAAUGUAUGGUGUGCUCAGACAUGAAGAGAGAUACUCUUUUUGGUCCAUGUGGACACAUUGCAACUUGUUCUUUGUGUUCUCCGCGUGUCAAGAAAUGCCUCAUCUGUAAAGAACAGGUUCAGUCCAGGACAAAGAUUGAAGAAUGUGUGGUGUGCUCUGACAAGAAAGCGGCUGUUCUUUUCCAACCAUGUGGACACAUGUGUGCCUGUGAGAACUGUGCUAGCCUGAUGAAAAAGUGUGUGCAGUGCCGGGCAGUCGUUGAACGAAGGGUGCCUUUCAUCAUGUGCUGUGGUGGAAAGAGUUCGGAAGACCCCUCUGAUGAUAUCUCAAGUGGGAAUAUUCCAGUGCUGCAGAAGGAUAAAGACAACACCAAUGUCAACGCAGAUGUGCAGAAGCUGCAGCAGCAGCUGCAGGACAUCAAGGAGCAGACAAUGUGCCCUGUGUGUUUGGAUCGUCUGAAGAACAUGAUUUUCCUCUGUGGCCAUGGAACAUGCCAGCUCUGUGGAGACCGAAUGAGUGAAUGCCCAAUUUGUCGCAAGGCAAUUGAACGAAGGAUUCUUUUGUAUUGAUUAAGAAACACAGAGUGUUUUGUUAGCUAAAGCAUUUGAAAGCAAAUCUCAGUACAUCAAAAAAAUCCUAUUAUUGGAAAGAAAAUUACCAUAUCUUUGAGAAACAAGGACAUCUCUCUCCAAGUCAAUAUAAGAAGGAGCUGCUAGGCCAGGCAAGUCUUGAGUCCCUGCAGAGAAUCUCUGAAGCCUAAGCUGCAGUGGAAACUCAGAACCGUGAGAUUCACUGAAAAAGGCUGCAGGCAUGGAGCAGAGUUGGCCCGACAGAGAUACCAUAUGCUGAGGAUGGCAGAACUGAAAGGGUGAACCUACCCAGACCAUCUGAAGCACAGACAGACGCCAGACAUGCAGCUGUAGAGUUGGCGUUUGCCCUGCUGAAUUUCAGUCUUGCUUUGUCCCUGUUCUUUCUUGGGAUAGGAAUGUUUGUGCUGUGCCAUUGUUUACAUGUAUAAUUUCUUUAUUUUACAGGAGCUCACUGUUUAUGAGUCUCAGAUGAAACUUGUUGAAAUUGUUAAAAGACAAAUGAGAACUUUUGGAUUAUGAGAUGGUCAUGAGCCUAUGAGGAUGGAAGUAAUGCUUUGAAAGUGAUGUGUUUGGGUAUCAAGUUGACAAAGGGUAGAGUUGUGACGGUUAACAUUUUCAACUUGACAGAAUUUAGAAUCAUCAAGGAGACGUGCCUCUGAGAGAUUAUCUAGAAUAGAUUUGCCUCUGUCUAGACUAGAUUUGCUUCUGAGCAUGCCUGUGAGGGAUUGUCUAGGCUAGAUUAGCCUCUGAACAUGCCUGUGAGAGAUUGUCUAAAUUAGGGCAAUUGAGGUUGGAAGACCCACCUUUAACUGGGUGGCACCAUUCCGUGGGAUGGAGUCCUGAACUGAAUAAAAAGGAGAAGUCUAGUUGAGCAUCAACAUUCUUUACUCUCUGCCUCUUGACUGUAUGCAGUGGGACCAGAUUCCUCAAGUUCCUGUUGCCAUGACUUCCUAGCCAUGAUGGAUGGUACCCUUUAGCCUUGAGUGGAAAUAAACCCACCUUUCCUUAAAGUUACCCUUAUUUUCAGAUAUUUUGUCACAGUAAUAGAAAAUGCAUGUUUUUCUCUCCUAUGUGAAUCUAGAGUUAAAUGUGAGCAUGGACAUAACAGGUAAGCAGGAGGGGCUGUUUGGGAGGAGGAAGCAAAUCAGCAAGGGGGCAGGAGAAGGAGAUUCGGGGUGAAUAUGAGCUAAGUGUGGUGAUACGUGUGUAUGGAAUGUCACAGUGAAAGCUGGUUGUGGUAGGAUACAUCUGUAAUCCCAGUAUUUGGGAGGCUGAUACAAGAAGAUUGCCUUGAAGUCAAGGCCAGCCUGGG